UACAGAGGUCUCAAGCGUUGUUCGGAUUCAUUGGGCGUAAAGGGUGCGUAGGUGGCGCUGUAAGUCGGGUGUGAAAUUUCGGAGCUUAACUCCGAAACUGCAUUCGAUACUGCGGUGCUUGAGGACUGGAGAGGAGACUGGAAUUCAUGGUGUAGCAGUGAAAUGCGUAGAUAUCGUGAGGAAGACCAGUGGCGAAGGCGGAUCUCUGGACAGUUCCUGACGCUGAGGCGCGAAGGCCAGGGGAGCAAACGGG
rnacentral:rRNA from 1 species